GGUAAAAUAUCUCCUUGCCAAGGAGAAGAUACGGGUUCGAUUCCCGCCGCUCGCC
rnacentral:tRNA from 2 species